CUCUCCCUAGUACGAGAGGACCGGGAGGGACAGACCAAUGGUGUGCCAGUUGUUCCGCCAGGAGCAUUGCUGGGUAGCCAAGUCUGGUUGGGAUAAGCGCUGAAAGCAUCUAAGUGCGAAGCCCACCUCAAGAUUAGAUCUCCUACCCUGUUUAGGCAGGGGAGAGGCUGCAAGUAGACGACUUGCUUGAUAGGCGGCAGGUGUAAGCGCAGUAAUGCGUUCAGCUAAGCCGUACUAAUGGCCAAAGCUCAACUUA
rnacentral:rRNA from 1 species